AAUGUGUCAGGAUUUUAAAUUUCACAAUAACAUUGGCUGCAUAUAUUCCUCCGAAGCCUGACUUUUGUCACUGAGUGUAAUGUCCUUUAUUGUUGAUGCUAAUGCCCUUGUUUUUUUAUUGUUGUAGUUAUUAUUGUUUUUGUUAUUUAUGUCAUUGAUGGAUAAGACAGAUAGAAAUGGAGAGAUAAGGGGAGAGAAAGAUAGACACCUGAAGACCUGCUUCACUGCCUGUGAAGCUACUCCCCUGCAGGUGGGGAGACUGGGGCUUGAACCGGGAUCCUUAUUCCGGUCCUUGCGCUUUGCACCACUUGAGCUUAACCCACUGCGCUACCACCUGGCCCCCAACAUUCAAAUGUUUUACAAAGUGUCUCUAACAGGCUGCAUGUCCUGUUUGAUUCUAGAUACAGUCAGAAACCAAGCUCCUCUUAAACCCCACUGCCAUGAGCAGAGGAUAACUUCAUCAGGCUUUGAACUCUGAUUUUACUAUUUUUUGUGUUGUUCUAACAACAAAUGCCAAUGUCAUUCUCUGUUAUAAUGGAUUUCCCAGGAGUCUUCAUGGAGGCAAAGGCCAGGGCUGAAGUGACUGGCCCUGGGCAGUGGGCCUUCCCCAUGAAGGAAAGGAUGAGACCAGAGUCGGAGCUGGAGAGACUGAGAAGCGAUUGUGUUCUGGAGUCCAUUGAGGGGAACAACAUCUCUGAAGAGAUCCCAGGGGCUGACAGAAGCUGGCUCUCAUUCCACUGAGAGAGACCCAUGCUCAGUGCACCCCCAGACUGCAGGGCUGCAGGAACUCUAGAGGCCUGUGGCUGCUGAGCUUGAUCUACACACUGGCUCUCAUCCCCCUCACCCGGUCUCCAAGAACUGUCCACCUGUAAGGGUUGUGUGAAGUCCCUCACAGAUAAUGUGGUCACUCCAGGCUCAGAAUCCUCUAAGAAGCCAGAGAUGAUGGUAGAGGACAAAGGCACCCUUCUUUCUGAGGAGUCCUCAGAGGAAGCAGUAGUGGCUCCCUUGCAGGACAUGUACAUCAUAUCCAGCGACGGGGGAGGAGAUUCAUCUUCAACGUCUUUGUCUGACUUUUGAGUUUUGAAACCUCUUCAAGGAGUCACUUGAAGGGCACUUUGGAAAGUAGCUGAGAAGGUGCAGCAAGGUAACUGAACUCUGUCCUGGUGUCAGCAUGUCAGAGGAUGAAGCCACCUGACUCAGAGAAGCAAGUUCUAGUCUUGCUGUCUUCUCUGCAGAGACUGAGGCCCAGCAGGGGGAACUGAUGGGUGCACUCAGGAAGGGGGCUGCUCAGACUGCUGUCCCACAGGUGUCCCCUCCUGUGAUACCUGAAGCUGCUCUAAGUAGAGAGCCCUGUGGGCAGGGCUCAGCUUUAAGGAGCAUUUUCCUCUGUGAGCAAGAGAGAGCCCUCUGGGGCUCCAGCAGCAAAGGGAGAGCAGGGUGCACACUGACUGAGGAGCUUGUCACGCAGGGCAGGGUCUGCUUUACUCACAGUUGUUCUCACCCCUUGCCUGACUGCCCCAGUUUCUCUCUUCUCCCACUACUGCUGAGGAUGCUCUGCUGCCCUGCAGAGGCCUCCUUGCUCUGUUUCCCAAGGUCGUGACUCAAGGCUCCUCAUGAAGAUGGAGGCCCCAGCACCUGCCUCUGCCCCAGACCAGCUCCAUGGAGGAUGAGGACGGUGCUCAGCAGAAGACUCUACAGACAGCAUGUAAGAAGAGAAGCAGCUGCACCCCUCCCCAUCAUGGACUCUGUGUUCCCCCCUAAGGAAGCCUGUGAACUGUA